CAGGGCGAGGUGGGACGGGC
rnacentral:miRNA from 1 species